GCCCCCGUAGCUCAGGGGAUAGAGCACCGGCCUCCGGAGCCGGGUGCGCAGGUUCGAAUCCUGCCGGGGGCACCG
rnacentral:tRNA from 1 species